GAUGAACGCUGGCGGCGUGCUUAACACAUGCAAGUCGAACGGAAAGGCUCCUGCUUGCAGGGGUACUCGAGUGGCGAACGGGUGAGUAACACGUGGGUGAUCUGCCCUGCACUUCGGGAUAAGCCUGGGAAACUGGGUCUAAUACCGGAUAGGACGAUGGUUUGGAUGCCAUUGUGGACAGUUUUUUCGGUGUGGGAUGAGCUCGCGGCCUAUCAGCUUGUUGGUGGGGUAAUGGCCUACCAAGGCGUCGACGGGUAGCCGGCCUGAGAGGGUGUACGGCCACAUGGGGACUGAGAUACGGCCCAGACUCCUACGGGAGGCAGCAGUGGGGAAUAUUGCACAAUGGGCGCAAGCCUGAUGCAGCGACGCCGCGUGGGGGAUGACGGCCUUCGGGUUGUAAACUCCUUUCGCUAGGGACGAAGCGCAAGUGACGGUACCUGGAGAAGAAGCACCGGCUAACUACG
rnacentral:rRNA from 1 species